rnacentral:rRNA from 1 species
UACGUAGGGUGCGAGCGUUUAAUCGGAAUUACUGGGCGUAAAGUGUGCGCAGGCGGCAGAGCAAGUCGAGUGUGAAAGCCCCGGGCUUAACUUGGGAAUUGCGCUCGAAACUACUUUGCUGGAGUGUGGCAGAGGAAGGUGGAAUUCCACGUGUAGCGGUGAAAUGCGUAGAGAUGUGGAGGAACACCAAUGGCGAAGGCAGCCUUCUGGGCCAACAC